UACGAAGGGUGCAAACGUUGCUCGGAAUUAUUGGGCGUAAAGCGCACGUAGGCGGCUUAGCAAGUCGGAAGUGAAAUCCCUCGGCUCAACCAAGGAAGUGCUUUCGAAAUGCUGAGCUUGAGUACUUAAGAGGAUCGCGGAAUUCCCGGUGUAGAGGUGAAAUUCGUAGAUGUCGGGAGGAACACCAGUGGCGAAGGCGGCGAUCUGGGAAGAUACUGACGCUGAGGUGCGAAAGCGUGGGGAGCAAACAGG
rnacentral:rRNA from 1 species